rnacentral:rRNA from 1 species
AGUCGAACGAAGCUCGAAGCUCUGAGAUUUCGGUCAAGGAGCCUAGAUGACUUAGUGGCGAACGGGUGAGUAAUGCGUGAGCAACCUGCCUUUCAGAGGGGGACAACAGCUGGAAACGGCUGCUAAUACCGCAUAACACACCGGGGUGGCAUCACCCUGGUGUCAAAGGAGCAAUCCGCUGAGAGAUGGGCUCACGUCUGAUUAGCUAGUUGGUGAGGUAACGGCUCACCAAGGCGACGAUCAGUAGCCGGUCUGAGAGGAUGAACGGCCACAUUGGGACUGAGAUACGGCCCAGACUCCUACGGGAGGCAGCAGUGGGGAAUAUUGGGCAAUGGGCGAAAGCCUGACCCAGCAACGCCGCGUGAAGGAAGAAGGCUUUCGGGUUGUAAACUUCUUUUAUCAGGGACGAAGGAUGUGACGGUACCUGAUGAAUAA